CCUUCAUCGCCCACCUCUUCACCUGAACCUCAUCACUCGGCAGCCACAGUCCAUAUAAACCAGUUCAUCAUUGCUGUGCAGGUCCUUGUUGUCGGUCUGUUACCUGUCUGCUGGACACACUGUCGUUUGGACUUUUUGAUCACUGUAAGCCUAAUUAAAGGACCAGUAUGUAGGAUUUAGUGGCAUCUAGCAGUGAGGCUGCAGAUUGGAACCAACUCUAUAACCCUCUGCUUACCCUCCCUUUCCAAGCGUGUAGGAGAACCUCUGGUGGCCGUGAGAUCCCCCGAAAUCCUACACACUGGUCCUUUAAAUCAUUGAACUGUCCCUGUCUGUCUGUCAUACUCCGGCUGUGGCAAAGACAUUCCUAAAGUUCCCGUCCUUUAAUCGUGCCACUGUGAAAGACGGUCCUUAUGAUGGGAGGCUAUCAAUCAGAGGAUCUACACUUCCACCUAGUGGCUCCAGUAAUCUGCAUCAAUCUGCCCUCAUCAGAAACAUUCAGGUGGAGGCUUCAAAUAAGUCCAGUGGGUUUCCUGCCUCUUCCUGCACUGUAUAAUAUGUUAUUUUCGUUCUGUUUGUGUAUUCUUAAAUUGUGCAACAAAAAAAAUUAAAUGUACUUUCUGUAUAUUCAGAUUACCUAAUAUCACUUAGACACCGAUUAAUAUACAGUAUGUUUAUUAUACAAUACAUAUUUGUUUAGCAUUUACUUUAAAUAUACAAAUAUUAUCCCUGAAAGAGUAAUUUGAGUAAACUGAAGUUAUAUCUAAAGAAUGUCUACAUUAAACAACUUUUGCAC